rnacentral:rRNA from 1 species
AAUUUUUUAUGGAGAGUUUGAUCCUGGCUCAGAGUGAACGCUGGCGGCGUGCCUAAUACAUGCA